CGCGCGGCGCCCGGCACUCGUGCCGCGGCGGUUGGCGGUUGGCGGGCGGGGCAGGCGAGGGCGGCCCAGCCUGUGGGGCCGCGGCGUAGCCUCGGGGCAGCCGGGUAGGGCCUCGGGGCAGGGAGGCCCAGUGCACCGGAGCAGCGCGGCCCGGACGUGUUUGGGGGCCCAGGCCCGGCCUGCAACGGGUCUCGGUCCUCCCGCAGCGCUCCUCCCUCUGUCCCCAAGCGCAUAGCUGUGGGGCCCAGCAUGCGGGGCCUGGGGCGGGGAGCUGGACGGGUCGGGAACCGAACCCCGGGGCCCCGGGACCGCGAUCGUCUGCUUGGACGCAGUUCCACGCUGGGCAGCCGCCCUCCCCAUUCAAGUGCUAAUCGCCCUGCGAUUUCCUAGCGGAGCGGGUGGCCGCCGUGGCACCCCUUCCCACCAGCGUGCCCGUUUCUCUGGAAAAGUUCCAGAAAACUUAAAAACACGAACGUAUUUUCCCACCCCGCUUUUCGAGCAGAGUGGAGGGCGGUUUACUCGCGGGGUUGAGAAAACAAGUGUUGGGAGGCUUUUUCGCCUUCUCCCGCCAGGCACGUGGCUCCAUUUCCCGGCCGCCCCGCCGCUUGCUCGGGCUCAGCCUGCCCCCCUUUGUCCGCCAGGCUGUACUUGGCGCCCGCGGGCCCUCCCUGCUGCCCACCUGACCUAGUGGUUCGGCCCUGGGGCCUCCCCAGACUUCUUCACUGUGGGGUCUGGAAGCCUCCCAGAUCCUCCCGGGUUCCCUACGGUGCUUGCUCCGGAGCCUAGUGCGCCUCCUCUCCUGAUGUCAUAGGGCUCCUCGAAUGCCCACUGACCAACUUCUAAAUGCGUUAAAGGGCUUCCCAGUAAUUUGAAGACCCUUUUAACCUUGCGCUUGGGAGGUGUCCGGGUCCUGGAGGCAGAUGUUGGGGUCUGGAGGUCCCCUGCGAAAUGACCAGGGCAGCCUCCUGCCAGAUUGGGAAUCCCCCCUCCCCCCCAGCUCAGCGCUGUGGAGGAACCCAGCAAACAUUAACUCCGAAUAUGUACGUUUUUCCUGAGUGUCAGUUUCUAGUGAUCUUCUUGGAGACGAGGCCAUGCUUUUCUCUAUUUUGCGUGUUGAUCCUUUCAGCUUGCCACAGUGGGCCUUUCUGGAGACAGGCAGUGGAGGCUCAGAGAGGUUUAAGAACCCUUUAACAUCCGGGAGCCUGCAUUAGGACAACCUGUUUGAGCACUCCUAUAGAAAUGGUUUCCCAGUCCCUUUGACCUUGACCCCACUGUUGGAAGCACUUGUUUGGUGUGGAUUAGACCAGUGAAUUCCCAAGUAGGGUGGAAAGGAAGAGCCUACUGUGUGUUCCGCGAGGGCAUCUUUGUUGCCUUUUCAAAAAGAAUGCGGUAGCCUGGAUCAACCGGUUCAUUUUGGUCACUGGCAGCUUUGAAGAUGGCUGCUGCUGCGUGGGCCUCCGCAUUGUGGCCUAAGGGAGAGACAGUCCCCUCUAACCAGAAAGCCUUGGGUGAGAAAAGAGAUGCCUGUAGGGUAAUUCUUGGCUAAUGGCAGGCUGGGAAGGAACCCAAGUUUCAGGUGGGCCAGUGUGCUGUAAUUGCAAGGCUGGAGUGCAGCUCCAUUUUAUUGCACAUAGCACAUACAAAGGCUUUUAAUUUUGUUUACAAGGAACCCCUCCACCUCCAUCCUUCAAAGAGACUCCAUAUUUCCAAGUUUAGGAGAAUGGAAGGCCAUUGGAUCUGAAUUAAAGAAAAGUUACCAAGUUUUGCUGUUUCCGAGCUUGAUGGGAAGUAAAUACUUAGUAAAUUAACUUUAAAAAUAGAAUCCACAGUGGGUUCUCAUUGUGUCUGUUACAAAUACUGUUACAUGUGUGAGAUUAGUAGCACUGGGGGCCAAGGUUCAGAACCUCACAGAUUUUUCUUUCCUAUUGGAAAAGGUUAGUGGUUUAGGGUAGAUAAAUUCUCUUCCCACCCUGAAAUUUCCUAGAUAGUGGGUUCUAGGUGGGGUUUCCCCCAUCGAAGGAUCUUAAACUGUCUGGGAGGAGCUUUGCCUCCUGCAAAGAGAUGCUCCUGCUUUAUAGCCUAUGAAUAUUUGCUACAAAAUAACCUCGGAGACUGUGGAAACCCGACUGAGAGCUGCGGAUCACGACUGCGUCUUUGAUCAUCGCUUUACUCUCUGUGGUCUCCAAUGGCAGCAGUUAGCCCCUUCCCCCACCCUCCUCCCCAAUUCACAGUUUUGUCUGAGGGUACCACUGCUGCCUGGCGGCCUGUGUGCUGCAGGGAAAGCGUUGCCAACAGCUGGAAGGCACAGCCGGGUGGCUGAGCACUUGUGGGAAAUCUUCCCCCCAGGAGCUUGUGAAGGGAUUUAAAUAAGUGUUCAGGGGAAAAGAUGUAAAAGCUUUGACUUACACAUUCUUAAGAAGCAACAUUUUGUAACUUUUGAGUUUUCUCUGUCAACACCAUUGGGUUUAUUCUUUACAAUUAAAGAGGCUGGGGUUCCAGCAUGAUAAAAAUGUUUCUUUUUCCUCUCUUCUUUUAAUUUUAUGAAUCGUUAUUGUGGGAAAUGUAUCACAAGAUUUCUUUUAAAAAGGUUCUGCUGGGAAGUGAUUUUACAAACAUGAAAAGGCAAGGUGUCAAAGGAUUUUGUUUCUCCUGCAGUUGUCAGUGUUCCCACCUUGUCAGCUGUCCCUUCCCCCCUUUUACAUCCUAAAACAUUCCAAACCUGUCAUUUCACCCACAGGUUUGUGUGCACAGAGUACAGGGAGUCAAGCGCCCCCCUCCCCCUUUCUGAAACAGGGUGGGCUGUAUAGCCCAGGUGGGUUUCUAACUCACCUUCCUGUCUCUGCUUCCUGAGUCUUGGGAUUACAGGUCACCAUGAUGGGCUGGUGAAGGGACAUAAUGAGUACUACCAACUUUUGUUGGUAUGCCAGGGGGGUCGUUAGUUCUCUUGGCUUCAGAAAGCAAUUGGCUUGCUUUUUAGAUUUAUUUGUAUUUAUGUAUGUUGGUGUAUGUAUGUACGUAUGUAUGUGUACCACAUGUGUACAUUGUCCCAAAGGCCAGAAGAGGGCAUCAGAUCUUCUGGAAGCAGAGCCACAGACAGGUGUGAGUUUCUGUGUGGGUGCUGGGAAUUGAACCUGGGUCCUCCCUGCAAGAGCAGCAAAGUGCUCUUAACUGCUGAUCCAUCUGUCCAGCCCCUAAAAUUGAUGUUAGAAUAUGGACUUAGUAGAACGUGUACAUUUGCUUUCCUGUCUUCUAAAUCGUUCUUGCUUUUGUUUUCUAGAAACGGCAUCUUACUAUCUAGCCUGGGCUGGCUCUCAGUUUGCUUAUGUCCCCUUAUGGGAGAUCAACUGGAUGCCACCAUACCAGCUUUACCUAUCUACCUGCCCUUCAGAGUUCUCCGCUUGGUUUCCUGUUCGGUGGUAGACCCACCAGUUCGGGUCCAUUCUGACUCCAUCACCUGAGGGGGCUUUUGCAAAAUUUUUGUGAAAUUCAUAGUUGCAGCAGGAGGAGCCUUUUUUAAAUUUUUUUUCAUUUUUAAAAAAUGUAUAUGAGUACACUAUCACUGUCUUCAGACACACCAGAAGAGGGCAUCAGAUCCCAUUACGGAUGGUUGUGAGCCACCAUGUGGUUGCUGGGAAUUGAACUCAGGACCUCUGGAAGAGCAGUCAGUGCUCUUAGCCGCUGAGCCAUCUCUCCAGCCCAGUAGCCUACUUCUACAUGGCCUGUUUCUACACUUUCAGCACAUGCCAUUCAACACAUAGAAAGUCAAAGCCAGGGUCACGCUGUUGCCCAAGGUGGGUUUUUCCUUCCCGUGUUCUGGGCUCCAGUGUGGGUGGAGGAGCCAUGCUCUGUCUUGUGUGCUCUCUCCCUUUAUCUACCCCAACUGUCCUGUGCACCGUGCAGCUCUGCCCCACCAGCACACUAUCUCAAGGCCAGUAAGGCAGGCUGGCCCAGACCCAGCCUGCUGCCUUAUGCCUUCCUUUCAUUUUGGAUGGUUAGAGUGAAGCUCUGGUGACAUAGUCUCUACCUACAACCAAUUUGCCUUUUUACCUCUAAGGUCCUCUUUUGAGACCAAACACUGGACUCUCCUAUCUGUUUUUCUGUAGAGUUGUGCAGCAUUCUUCAUCUAAACUGGGAGCUUUCUCCCGUCAAGUGAGGGACUGGGACUGCAGGCAGACCCAGAGGGCUAUCCCCAAGUCAGGCUUGGGGGCUCAACAGGCCCGACUGCAUCCACUUGCUUCUCAGCCAGUGCAUCUGGGGCCCUCCUGCUGCCUGAAGGUGCACGUGUGGUGUCCCUGAGAUGCCCCAAGCAGGCCCUCUGCUGUCUGCCAGGAGCAAGGUGCUUCUGAGUCUUGGGCACUGGACCAGCAUUGGGGCACUCCAUUCUUGGUCUUCCCAUAGGAAGAAGGAGCAGUGGACAGAUGAAUGUGUUUAUCCACUUCAGUUCUGUUCUCUUAGGCAUGCGUGGUGAAUUGGUCUUCUGCGUGGGUCUCAGUUCCUUGUGGAGCUUGGGAGAUGUUGCCCAGGUUGCUCAUUCCCUCUGGGCUUUGUGACUUGGGAUUCCUUCCCUUCCCCUAUGGUGCAGGCUAGAGGGAAGUCAUAGGCAUGUGUCCCCCAGUCAUCUUGAGAGCAUUCUGUCAGGAUUGCUGGUUACUCGAGGUAGCCGGCCAGGGCCCGCCCGAGUCCAUGUUGAAGUCCAGCCUGCAGAGCUAGGACUGCACCGUUGCCUGCAAGUGCCGUGUGGUUGGUGUGAGUUCCCAUCAGGCAGUUCUUAGACAUAUUUAAGACUGAGCAGCGUCUUACGGCGAUGCAGAGAUCACUGAAAAGUCUCCGCCUCCCUGUGUAUUCCGUGUGUCUGCACACGUGUGGUUGGUUCAUUGUCUCUGCUGGUCCUGACUCCCAGGGCCUCACUUGAAGCUGAGUCCUUGGAAGCAUCUUGACUGGGUCACUGGAGAGCAAGUGGCCAGGGCAGCUCGAGUCACUUUGGGCAGCGAGGGAGUGAGGAGUUGACUUGGGGAUUAGGCAGCUGGAUGGUGCCAAUGGUUUAAAGAGAGAGAGGAAUUGGGACCUAGGACAUGAAACUAUGGGACCUUGGAAGACCAGGUUAGCAUCUGUGGGGGUCAGAGAAUGUUGUGGGGGAGGAGGCCUGGGCAGAAACUGUUACCCAAGAGCUGAGGCACUGGGUGGUCAGGCUCUUGACCGGUCUUCCAACAGUUCUUAUUCACAUGUGUGUUUGGGCAGGAGCUGCCAGCCACACUGGGAUGGGAGUGGAAAGAAAAGUUGUAGGUGGUUGGUUGGUUGGGACCCACUUUGAAUGGAGUGACCCAUGGACCCCUGCCCCCUUUUUAAUUUAAAAUGUAUUGUUUAUCCUUUUUUCUAGUAAUUUCAUGUGCGUUGAUGUUUUGCAUGUAUAUCUGUGUGAGGGUAUUGGGCAGAGUUACUGACAGCUGGGAUCUGUCACGUGGCUGCUGGGACUUGAACCCUGGUCCUCUAGAAGAGCAGCCAGUGCUCUUAACCGCUGACUCAUCUUUCUAGGCAUGGACCCUUUCUUAUGGUUGUGGGAGGAUUGACAGAACUUGUGGGGGAGGCCCCCGGCUCCCUGGGCGAGUCAUGGGGAGCUCUCUAUCAGCUCUGUCAGCUCUCCCCGCCUUCUUCACCUGGGGGAAGGAGAUGGCGGUGGGUUGUGGGCUGUGACAGUUACUUCUGUUUUACUGAAAUGAAGCGCCAUGACCAAGGCAGCUUACAGAAGAGUGUUUAUUUGGGGCUUAUGGUUCUAGGGGGGUCAGAGUCCAUAAUGGUGAGGAGGCAUGGCGCCAGGAACAGGAAACUGAGAGCUCACAUUUUCAAACCUUUACCAGCAUGAAGCACAGUGAAACGAAAGAACAGUCUAUGCUCUUAAACCCACCUCUAGGGACUCGCCUCUCCUAACAAGGCCACAACCAGCGACAUUUCUCAUUCACACCACUGUGGGGGUGACAGGAGUUGAGCCAGUGCCAUGUCAUCCUAUUAGGCACUAAGUCUCUGUGGGACUUCAUGAAGGCUGAGUGAACCCAGCACAUGGUCCAGCGGGAUAGCCAUUGAGUUUGUACCUUCAUCAGGACAACUGUCAGGAGACAAUCAUCUCAUGGCCACAGCAGGAAGAGAGGCCAGAUUUCAUGGUGUCCUAACUCGUGCUCUGCCAGUGGUGAACUAAGGUCAACGGUCUGCAGGCGUUGGGCUGAGGGUGGGUGGUUCCGAGUGCUGAGGGGCAAUCUGAAGCUUCGGUGAGGGCUGGGUGUGAGCUUGGAAAAGUCGGAUGAAGCGGAUAAGGCUUUGGGCCCCCACAGCUGGCACUCGGUCACCUUCCCCACCUGCACUCUGAAGACCCGGGACAUUCCCAGGUGAGUUCUGUUGCCAAGGGCUGUGAGUAGGGGUUCUGAGAAGAUAGAAAGGAGUCGCAAGCAUUCCCAAGACUGCGGCUGCCCCGAGUGUGGCUGGCCCAGAAGCCUGGAUUGGAUGGACCCAAGAAAAUCAUCCCUGCCUGCCAGGCAGUCUAAGAGAGGGAAGAGAAGCCAGAUCUCCCAAACGGUUAAGUUCAUCUGCCUGUCUGUCUGCUUACCUGUCCCUCUUUCCUGAAAAUGCUUCAAGGUGUGAUCUAGGCCCACUGCUCUGAACUGCAGCUUGUCUGCUCUGUCCUUGAGCGUUAGGGUUAAGUCACCAUUAAGGAGUUCCAGAAAUGCUAUGGUCAGAGUGCUAUGCUUUUUUAAGCACCCGAAGCCACAAGGCUUGGGGACAGCUAGCACGUCCUUUUGUGAAGACCAGGACCGUAACAGGUGUCCUAGCUGGGGAUGUGAUCUGGAGAAUGGUCCAUGGGCUCUGGGAGUCCUGGCUGAGAGCCUGGUUUCCCUGGAUGGUGGCGUUGGGGGUGGGGUUUGGGGUUGAAAAAAACAGCACUGUGAAAUAAGUGGAAGAGAUGCUGAGGAGAGUGUGGUGGGGUGUGUGUGUGUGUGUGUGUGUGUGUGUGUGCGCGCGCGCGCGCGCGCGCGCGCGCGUGCAUGCAUGGCUGAGAGUGUGGUGGUGCAUGUGUGUGCAUGGCGUCAAGCAAAUGCAGAACUAGAUUGACCUCUGGAGAGAGUUGAAUUUCAUUCUGUUGGGUCACCCCUCCCUAGAGGAUCCUGGUUGCCUGCGGUGGCAAGGAGUUGCCUCGGUGUUCGUGGGAGACUGAGCCCUGGGCCUCACUUCUCAAGAGAGGGUAGGACACUUAUCAUCUACCACAGAGAGGGUGGAGCGAAGAUGCCCGCCCCAGGGCGUGCAAGAUCAGCCCUCGAGAGCUCGCUGUGGGUACCAAGUGUUACUCCAAAGAACAUUUAUCUGAAACGUGGUUUUUGUCUUAUUUUUGCACAGUUUUAUUGAGCGAGGUGUUUUUAAGUUCGUGUGGCAGAAUGUCAUGUGUUACAAAUCUUGUCAAGUCAUCCACCCUAUGCAUAAACCUCACACCCUGGGCAGGAGGCUGCCAUCGCUCCAGUCCUGGCCUCUGGGAUGGCGCCUGGAGCGCCCACUGGCACUGUGGUGGAUCCUGCCUGGCCCUCACCCUAGUCUGACCCAGCAGGACUCGGUGCAGUGGGUAUCUUGCCGUCCUCUGGUUCAAGUGGGUCUGCACUAUCAACAGGGAGAAGAAAAAGGUUGCCGCUUGAGAGCAGGGAAGUACUUUCAAAAUGACAGCCUUUCAAAAACUAGCUUACAUAACACACAGUUAACCCUUUAAGGGGCUGGAGAGAUGGCUCCGUGGUUAGUGCUGUUCUUGUUGAGAACCUGAAUUCCAUUCUCAGUGCCCACAGUGGAAGGAUCAUAACGGCCUGUAUCCAGCAUGAGGAGAUCUGAUUGUCCCCGUCCACACGCACCAACACCCAAAUAAAGUUCUCAAAUAGUGAGAACUUUGGGGUUUUUUUAAAACCACAGAACUAUGGGAGUUUGUUUUGUCUGUCAUCUCAGGUGUGGGCUAUGGGGCUGCUUCAGUGUCCACAGCUGGUGAUUAUGAUUGCCUCGUUGUGGGAGGAGCAUGGGCUUGCCAGCUGCAGAUAGUUUCUGCGUGUGUGCGAUGUUUGGGAUUCUGGGGACUUUUCAGAGGGUAUAUAAAUGCCAGAGCCCCAAAGAAAGGGGCUGGUAGGUGGCUGGGUGCUGUUGGUAGUGUCUGUUGCCAUUUGUCAAGUAGUCGUAAGCAAAGAGGAGAAAUUAGAUAUCCUAAUGUCUUAGGCAAAGAUCGAACUUGCCUCCAAGGAACUGGACACUAAUUAAUGAGGCCCCCUCUCCUACCCCUGACUUUAUUCGAGAAUUUUUUUUUUCUCUCUUUCCCUCUUUCUUUCUCUCUUACCUAGAGUUAGGGAGUUGAAAGGGAAGAAGAGUGGAAGAAAGAAGAAUCCACAAAGUAACCAGAAGUCAGGCCACAUCACACCCACGGUGACCCUCCAGUGUACAGAUUCCAGUGCCUGCUCUUAACCCCAUGCCCUCCUGCCAGGCUCUGGAGGCCAAGACUGGAUUCUGAAUUCCCUCACUUGAACCUUCCUUAUGAAUAGUCAUGAAUACGCGGUGUUUUGUGUCUGGGUGUUUGGCUUAGCAAUCUGCCGUGAAGAUUGUUUCAGCAUGCACCAGGACUUCGCCUUCUGCCUUUCUCCCCAACCUCAAUCUCCUUUCUCAGUUGGUUCUCACUAAUUACCCAGGCUGAUCUUGAACCCAUAGCUCAAGGGAUUUUCCACAGUAACUCUGAGUUCUGAACUUCCUUUUCUGUUAGCAUGUAGCACGUAUGGUGUGGAUUCCCCUCCCUCACUGUCUGUGUCCUUGGGGUCUUCCUUCCAGCUGUGGUUAGUAUGGGCCUCUGAACACUUGUGUCUAGGUUUCUGUGGCUUGUUGUGUUUUCAUAGUUACCCUGUAUGGGAGGUGGAGAACUUUUUACACUUCCUCUACCUGCUGUCAUCAUACAGAAGUGCCACUGUGCCUUGCCAGGUUUCAGUGGCAUUUCAGAGGUUUAGAAAGUGAAGGGGUUUUUGUUAUAAGUGGGAAGAGAAGUUGAAACAGGAUCUUGUCUGAAGAUGGCCUUGAACUGAAUAUGUAGCCAAGACAGACUAAACUGAUUUUUCCUGUCUCUGUCUUUUUUUUUUAAGAUUUAUGUAUGAAUGUAUGAAUGUGUAUAUAUAUGUAUUUAUGUAUUUAUUUAAUGUAUAUGUGUACACUGUAGCUGUCUUCAGACACACCAGAAGAGGGCAUCAGAUUCCAUUACAGAUGGUUGUGAGCCACCAUGUGGUUGCUGGGAAUUGAACUCAGGACCUCUGGAAGAGCAGACAGUGCUCUUAACCACUGAGCCAUCUCUCCAGCCCCAACCUCUGUCUCUGCCUCUUGAGUUGUGGGAUUACAGGUGUGGACCAGCAGGCCCAGUUUAGAAAGUGAUGUUCUUUGGUAAGCCCACCUUAGCCCUCAGAACUGGUGGGAAAUGUGAAGUCUACAUACUCUUUGGAGAUGGACCAAAGAGAGAUAAAGUGCACUUAUCUCAUUAGGACACAUUGUAGAAUUUGUAGCCUAGACACCAGAGGAGUGAUGGAGGGACUCUAAGAGUCCAGGAUCCUGAUCUGGGUCCUGGGGUCUGAGUAUUUGCUGUUAGUCCUGUGCAGCUGCCUCCUGCCCACCAGUGAAAAGCCAAACACAAAUGGGAACCAUGGGUCACUCCCACAUGCGUGGAUGACUGCAAGUGGCCCUCACAGAGUAGGAGGUACAGCCAGGUACAGCUUUCUGUCUGAGGGGACUGAGAAGGAGGCAGGACAGAAGAGAAAGGUGACUUUCGGUCUGACCUGCUCCAUCUCACAGGACGAAGAAUGGGGAGCCAGGUUGGGAUGGAUGGAUUCACGGGUGUGGCUGCAGCAGCGCUUGGGAGGCUGCCGCGAGCCAAGAAACUGGCUAUGCUGUUAUGAACCUGGAGAAAAAAUGGUGGUAAGGGGCUUUUAGUUGUGAAAAAGAUUCAAAUGUUCAGCAAAGUAGAGGAGAAAAAUCAAAAGCCUGUCCAUGCCUGAUGCUGUGUCAGGGGCGGAGCAGCCCCACCUGCCCCCACCUGCUAAGUUCAUCCUUUUCCCUCCUGCUGGGGACAGAAACCAGGCCUUGAGCACCAAGCAUAGGUUCCUAAUCCCUGAAAUGACUGCAGCCUUCCAGAGAGUGUAGCUGGGACUCACCUGGGAGCCCUGUGCUGUGCUCUCCAUGUAACACCUUAGAGACAGCAGGAAAGUCAUGGGCGUGUGGUCCAGCUCCCCGACCUCACUUAGCUCAGGCUGAGCUCUGUACUUUAAGCGUCUGAGUCCUUAGCCCUUUCCAGCAUUAUCCCUGGGUUGUGUGGUGGGGCUGUAGGCUUCCCAUCUGUCUUGUCUCUCAUGAUCCUGCCUGUCACAUUUAGGUGUGACACACAGUCUUUAGAUGCCCUCAUGGCUCAUGGGUUGUCACCUGCACCAUCCUUAAUGCCUCUUCUGUUCUCUGUUCUCCCUCCAGCUGCCAUCUGAACUGUGCUUUGUGCACUGCUGUAGGCCACUGUCAUCGUGUGAGGGCCUCUGCCCUGGGCUGAAGGUGACUAGUUUGUAGUUGAGAGUAACGGGGCCACUGUGUGGUGGCAGAAAUCGGAACCGCGAAGAGGCUGAGAGCCCUGACUUGGGCAGUCCAUUGUGGUGUUGUCCUAGGAGUAUCGGUUGCCACCAAGUGUGUGCCCAAGCUGUGGUUGGCGACUUGGCAACAGUAGCUGUUGAGGCCAGGGAUAGCCACCUGCCCCAUGUCAUUGUGUAGCUUGGCAUGUGUCCUCUGGUCUCUGUGUGGCACUGAUGAGGCCCGGAAGUUAGCAGCAUUUUCUCAAGAGGUGGCACUUAGGUGCCGUGGCCUCUUUGUUGAACAUGUCACAGUCUCCCGAGCGUGUACAGCCCCCACAGCCAUGUGGCCUUCGAUCUGGUGUUUUCUGGUCUUCAUGUUCAAGAGGUAUGUGUGCUCAUUUCAGAGAACUUAGGAGAUGAAAUAAAAAAGCUGGUGUCAGCCGAGCUUGGGUCAGAUGGGAGCAUGUCACAGGGUUGAGGCCGCUCUGUGAAGCCUCCUUUCCUGGAGCAUCAUGGUGAUUGGUCCUAACAUCCAUCACGGUGCUCAGCGCCUCUCUUAGUUCCUGCUCUGUCCCUGCCAGCCUUUGGGAAUCUCUUCUUUGCAGCCUCUUAUGUAUUGAGGGUGAUGCUGCAGUGUCACGUCUGGAGGGCUCCACGUUGCCUGCCUGCUAUCUGGCGUGGUUACUACUGAGAGAAGAGUAUCUGUGGUUUGGGAGGUCUAAACACAUGGAGGACAACUGGUUACUACUGAAAGCAGGGCGGUUGCCCACAGAGAUGCCAUGCUAAAACACUCUGCACCUUUUUAAGUGACUCCUUUCUGGAUGUGAACUGCAUCCAAGGCGAGGAAGGGAAGAUGCUGUCCCAGAUUUGGAGUGACCCUAGGAAAGUGGUUAGCUUCCGAGGCUUACGCCCUGCUUCCCUCGGUACUCAGUUCCCUGGGGUUUUUCCCGAGUCUGUAAAGUGGGAGUAGUAAUAGCUCUCCUUACUGUUAUUACAAGGAAUUGCUAUGCAUUCAUAUGAAAUUACCUCCAGCAUCAGAAUAAUUAGCACUGUGCCUUGUACUUUGUCUGUGCCAGUUAGUAAUAUGUAGUUGUCAUAUGGAGUCGCGGACUGAUUGUUCUUACUAUUGAGUUGAUCACGGGCUCUGGUUAAUAGGUGUCCCACUGGUCACACUGUUCCAUAGAGCCAGUGUGAAUGACUUUGCAGAGUCCUAGGUGGAGGUGUGCUGUGUGGCACACAUUCUUAAUUGCGAUUGUGAGUUUAGUGUAGGAAGAGGUGUCAUGGCUCCUCUGAGGAAUGCCAUUGUGGUCUGGGUGCUGGUGAGGUGGUGGCUGACUUGGGCUGUGGGGCACAGGACCUGAAGAUGAUGCCCUGUGAACCCCACCAAGAGAACCUCCUGAGCUCCUGUGUAGCGGGGCUCCCCGCAUUCUCUAGAAUUUUCCAUCAUGUCCUAAAAACGGCUCAGAGUUGGAGAUGGGGAUCUUGGUUGGAAGGACAGUAAUGGAGUCUUCCUCCUCUAACCUAUUUGAACAAGAAUACCACCUUUUGUCUUUGCAUGUGAAUUUGCAGAAAUUUGGUCAGAUGCUGUCAAAAGUUGUUUUCUAAACAAAGCCAUAGAAAAGACAGCAGACAUGUGACUAUGUGAUGCAGUAAUGAAUUCUAAUUCAAUCCAGGUCUAAGACAGGGCAGGGCACCUAGGAACAACAUGGAGUCUCUUAGCAGUGUGGAGACCAUGUGAGUCAGACAUAUAAGGGGAAGGAGCCGCCGUGUGUGCAGAGUACAGGAGAGGAGAGAAGCCUUGUCUGAGAAUGCAGGACAGAGAGGCAUGGCCACCAUGUGAAGGAGCCAGGAGAGCAGGGUCCAGAGCACAGCCCAAUUGGGCAGCCAACUGGAUCCAGGACAGACAGAUAGAACAUAAAAUUAGUAAGUAAUAACUCGAGAUUACCAGUGGGAGAUCAUGGAGGUUAGACAGUGGCCCAGCUACUGUGCUGUUUGAGGCAUCAAAAUAUAAGGCUGAUUGUGUGUCUUUCGUUUGGGAAUGCAAACCAUUGAGGCGGGUAGUGAGCCAAAAAUGUAUUCAUCUGUCUCUCACCAGGUCAGCCUGGCUCAUAAACCAAGGCCUCCUGAAAGAGGGAAUGCCCUGGACCUGCCCAUCUGACCUCUGUGAGGCCCGCAGCACAGGACCCAUAUUAGGAACUAGUUUGGGACCGCCAGGGUCUUUAUUAAAGAGCAAAUGGAUGUUGAUUGAUUGAUUGAUUGAUUUGUUUAUUUAUUUAUUUAUUUAUUUUUAAGAACAGUCUUCCCGGGGCUGGGGAUUUAGCUCAGUGGUAGAGCGCUUACCUAGGAAGCACAAGGCCCUGGGUUCGGUCCCCAGCUCCGAAAAAAAGAACCAAAAAAAAAAAAAAAAAAAAAGAACAGUCUUCCCAUGUCGUUCUGGCUGGCCUGAAACUCACUAUGUAGACCAGGCUGGCCUGGAACUAACUUACAGAGAUCUGCUUGCCUCUGCCUCCCAGAUGCUGAGAAUAAAGGCCUGUACCACCACCACACACUUGAAUUUUUUUCUUUUAAGGUUGGUAUUUUGAAUUCUAAGUGACGGUUUGGUUUUGUUGUGACAGCAGCCUGAUGAGUGCAACAGGAACUGUUUUUUCUUGGCCUGUACCCCUGGAGGGUUUGCUGCCGCCGCCAAGCUUGCUGUCACACACUCUUGUGGAGGGUUAAAGUGUCUGUUGCUCAGUCUUGCCUUUCUGUCAGGGGAUUGGGCUGGGAGCCUGCUUCUGUAGGUUGCUCUGGAAUGUUCUGGCUUGGACCCUUUAAGUGGUAGGAUGGUGGCCCAUUGGGGCCAUUUGUAUCUAGUCCAGUUGUGUGUUUCUGGCCUUGGAGCUCCACAGACUAGAGCAGGAGGGUGCCAGUGUUGUCUCCCAGGGGCUUCAUGGUUCUGUGUUGGGACCCAGGUCUGGCCUCACAAGAGCAGGGCAAGUGCUCUACUAACUGGGCCACGCACCCACCCAGCCCUUUCUGUCUUGUUUUGGUCUUUUUAUACGAUUAAACUAAAAACAUCGAAAAACCGAGAGAAGGAAGGCAGUGAGUGAGUGACCUUGCUAUGAGAUGUGGGCUACAGCCCUUGGUUUCCCUGGCCCAUCCUGCAGGUCCUGAGGCCUGGUGAGUGAGGUACGUGAUAAACCCGCCCUUUAACCCGGAGCCUGGCUGCCAGGUGGAGAGCGUUGUCUGCCCAUUCUGAGGGCAGAGGCACCCCUGUUUGUUCAGCGACUUUCCCUGGUGCGAUUUUAUGUAUUUUGAAGUGAACAAUGUUUACUGUCUCUUGAGCUAAGCACUCAAUAAAUGGCUGUUUAAACUGUAAUAACCAGAUAACCGUGGAGGACACAGUGAUUUGCCAAACUUCAAAAGCCAGGGCAGGAUAUGUGCCUGGUCCCUAGCUUUGGGGUUCUGAAAAUCCAGAGCUGGCACAGAUGCCCCGAGCACCCCAGACCCUCCCCCAUCCUAUGUUGGCUUCAGCAGAUGACGACUGGCUCAGUCUGAGGACUCGCAAGGCUUGAAUGGCUCGCAAGCCCCUGGGCUGUGGUAAUUGCCCGUGACUAACAAGGUGGCCCUUCAUGACCCUCAGUGUCAGGUGGUGGCUUCCUCCCAGAGGCUCCGGGUACAGUGUGCCACACAUUCACUUCCUAAGACCCAGCACCUUACACGGAGAAAGAGUCUGCUCCAUCAUCGAGUUUCCCCAGCCCCUUAAUACUGGGUGUAGACACACAUGUCCAUGACCCCAGGACUUGAGAGGCUGAGACAGGACGACUUCAAAAUUGAAGUCCUAGUGAAACCCUGUCUCAAAAUAAACCAACCAAACCAAGACUAGUGGAGUGGAGUGUGGGGGUGCAUUCAUUCCCAGUUCUCGGGAGGCAGGGGCAGGCGGCUCUGAGUUUGAAGCCAGCCUGGUCUACCGAGCAUGUUCCUGAACAGCCAGGGCUACACAGAGAAACCCUGUCUAGGAAAACAAGACAAGACAAAACACCAAACCAUGCAAAAAGGAUCUAUUUUAAGAGGCAACAAGCCAAAUAUAUAUUAAUAUAAACAUUACAUGGAAGGCAGUUUUUAAAAGAAAAAUGGGGGUUGGAGAUUUAGCUCAGUGGUAGAGCACUUGCCUAGCAAGCACAAGGCCCUGGGUUCGGUCCCCAGCUCCGAAAAAAAGAAAAGAAAAAAAAAAAAAGAAAGAAAAAUGUAAUGUGAGUUAUUGUGUAGCUUGUGUGUCUGUGUCUGUGUGUCUGUGUAUCUGUGUGUCUGUGUCUGUGUGCGUGUGUCUGUGUCUGUGUGUGUCUGUGUGCGUGUGUCUGUGUGCGUGUGUCUGUGUGCGUGUGUCUGUGUGCGUGUGUCUGUGUCUGUGUGCGUGUGUGUGCGUGUGUCUGUGAGUGUGUCUGGGUGUGUGUCUGUGUGUGUGUCUGGGUGUGUGUCUGGGUGUGUGUGUCUGUGUGUGUGCCUGGGUGUGUGUCUGUGUGUGUGUGUCUGUGUGCGUGUGUCUGUGUGCGUGUGUCUGGGUGCGUGUGUCUGUGAGUGUGUCUGUGCGUGUGUCUGUGUGUGUGUCUGGGUGUGUGUCUGGGUGUGUGUGUCUGUGUGUGUGCCUGGGUGUGUGUCUGUGUGUGUGUGUCUGUGUGCGUGUGUCUGUGUGCGUGUGUCUGGGUGCGUGUGUCUGUGUGCGUGUGUCUGGGUGUGUGUGUCUGUGUGUGUCUGUGUGUGUGUGUGUGUCUGUGUGUGUGUCUGUGUGUGUGUGUGUGUGUGUCUGUGUGUGUGUCUGUGUGUGUCUGUGUGUCUGUGUGUGUGUCUGUGUGCGUGUGUCUGUGUGUGUCUGUGUGUGUGUCUGUGUGUGUGUCUGUGUGUGUGUGUCUGUGUGCGUGUGUCUGGGUGUGUGUGUCUGGGUGUGUGUCUGGGUGUGUGUCUGGGUGUGUGUCUGGGUGUGUGUCUGGGUGUGUGUGUCUGUGUGUGUCUGGGUGUGUGUGUCUGGGUGUGUCUGUGCGUGUGUCUGUGCGUGUGUCUGUGUGUGUGUGUGUGUGUGUGUGUCUGUGUGUGUCUGUGUGUGGUGGGGCUUUCUUAAGAUCUGGCCCCCAAAAGGGCUGUGAUUGGCAUUCAUUAUGCAGGACACAGAAGACAGCAGCCUGCCUCAUAGAUCUGUGGGCUGUGCCCUGCUGAGGAUGUAUUGCUAAUGUGGAUACCAGACCCUGCAACUAUCGACUCAGACCUCAGGCUCCAGUCCUACUGAGAAAAUUGUGCAUGUGACCUUGCGAUAGGGUCCAAGCAAAAGUCAUCUGAGCAGGAGUAUUAAUACGAAUGUUGCAUUUAGACUUGGGUCCCAUCCCCAAGAUGGCUCCUUACAUAGCACAGAUAUUUGGAAGUUGGAAAUAGUUCUCCCAAGCCAGUUGGAUGAGGGGGUAUUCAAGCUACCAUAAUUUCCAUCCUGCCCUGCCCCCAGCCCCUUCCCUUUCAAGUGUAGGUCCCAAGCCAAUUGGAUGAGGGAUACUGAAGCUAUAGUAAUUUCUGGCUUGUGCUGCUCCGCCCAAAACCAGCCCUACCCUCUCCCAAAGGGCUACUGUGGGGUGGGGUGUGUGUGUGUGUGUGUGUGUGUGUGUGUGUGUGUGUGUGUUCAUUUUUGAGACUAAAUUAGAUGACACUAGCUUUGCACCUCCCUGUAUUGGAGUUGUAGGCAGUGUACACAAUGUGAGCCACCAUGUGGUUGCUGGGAUUUGAACUCAAGACCUUUGGAAGAGUAGUCAGUGAGUGCUCUUAACCACUGAGCCAUCUCUCCAGCCCAUUGCACACAAUGUUUAUGUGUGUUUGACACAGUGUCUCAUGCCCUGGAACUGUUGAUCCUCCUGCCUCAGCCUCCAUAUUGUUUUCUUUUUUAAAAGACUAAUGAGAAGCAGCAAUCAGAUGCCAAAAGGUCCUCAGCUAGGAGUGGGACUUUGUCUCCUACAGAAAGGGAGGUGAUGGGCUCAAUGCUUAAGGCCUGGUGCUUUCCUUGGAUCAUAGCAACAGUCUAUUUGGACUGCAUGUUGCCAUUUAAUGAACAAAUGUAGACCCUUUACCACCAGCCGUGGAACAUUUUUACCUUUGCAAUAGUUUUAUUAAUUUGAGAAUCUCCUACAAUUUUCCUUCUUUUACCAUGUUUUCCACUGUCCAUUUCUUUCCAUCCAGCUUCAAGAUUGUUCCCCCACACCCCCAUCAAGUCCAGUUUGGGCCGCUUCGCUGACAUUGAAUGUGUUCACCCAAUCAGAUUACACCCUUAAAGAAACCUGACCUUCCCUCUCCCUGCAGCAAUCAAAUGCCAGUAGUUCCUCACUUAGGGGUGGUGCUGGGCACCUACCUCCUCACUUCUAUGAUGGGCUUCAGUUUGACAGGAGCUUGCGUAGGUCAUGUGCAUGCUGUCACAGUUGCUGCGAGCCCGUGUGCACACUUGCCCUGGUGUGGCUUGGUUUCCUUGGUGUUGUAAACCGCCUCUGGCUCUGAAUGAUCUUUCUGCUCCGUCUAACACAAAGAUUCCUAAGCCUUGCAGGGAGGGGGUAGGGGUGAAGGCGUGAAUGUCUGGUUUGCAACUGAGCACUCCAGUCUGAGUUUUAACCAGUUGUGGUUCUCUGUGAAUUGCCAUCUCCUGCAAGUAGAGCUUCUCUGAGGGCCCCUUGAAGUGCCAUGCAUAUGCUCCAUCUUGAGGGGUGGCCCUCUGAUCUAAUCAGAACAUGGUUGGUAAUUCCCUUAACACGUGUGCCGCUACUGCACCAGCAGGCCCAGCUCGUCCUGCAGUCAAUACAACUUACGAUGGCCAAUUAAUUCCUAGUUCACAGCUAUGGGAUAUGAAGGCUUACUCUUUUGGGUACCUUUUAGCAUCAUGAAUACAAGCCAAUAGGGAUGAAGCUUCCAGGUGAGUAGCAGCUUGAUGUCUCCGUGUUGUGUGACUUGUACAUCUUCAGCAAUAGGAUCUUACCAACAUGUUCGGGGGUAACCAGGAGCAAUGGUAAUUAAUAGCCUAUAAUGAUUGAGGAGCAGGGCUGGGUGGGUUGCAGUCUAUAUGACCCCAUUGGCAACAACUCAAAAAGAAGUAAUCUGCUCCCAUUACUGGGGUGUUUAUUUACCAACAUGGGUGUUUGUGUGUCUCUGGACAUCCUGGGGUGAGUUUGCUUUCUUUGUGGUCUGAAGCCCUAUGGCUGAGGGUUCAGAAUAGCUGUAUGUCCGUGACCCUGCAGCUUUAGUCUCCAGUACUAACCACAGCACAUGUUGGUGCAUCAGUGUUUUACAUCUUGGGGAACCCUUGGGGUUCCGUGGCCAUGGAACUACUGAAUUAGGAGCACCUUAAGUUUGUAGAUUUCCCUCUCCAGAAAGGUAGGGGUGUGUGUGUGUGUGUGUGUGUGUGUGUGUGUGUGUGUGUGUGUGUGUGUGUGAUAUCCCAGAGUGUUCUAGAACUGUGCCCCUGUAGUCAAGCUGUUUCUUCAUUUGAAGUCUUAACCUUAACUGUGUAGAGUUGCUGUAUAGACCGUGUGUGUGGAAGGCCCGUAGGCCAUUGCUCUGUACUCUGAAGGUUUCCUAUCCCCACUAUGCCUCCCUGUGAGAUACUCCCCUCCCCCGACACACACCCCUAGGAUGCUGAUCUCUAUGACAGGGAGCUGGGUAGAAAUGGAGAACACUCUGCCCUUGUCUGCUGACCUCCUGUGGAGCUCAGGCAGCUUAAGCCAGCUGUGGAGAAGCUGCUAGGAGCUAUGGCUUUGUGAAGAAAGCCUCCACCUUCACAGGUAGUGUAAAUGGCAGUCUCUCACAGUUCAGUCCUUCCAGUUGGGGUACUCACCAAGAGAGGUGACUCUUCCCUUGCUGGUAGUGCCCAGAGUGACUUAAGUGUCUGUGAGCAAUGGAAAAGUGUCCUGUGUUGGUUGCUUUCUCUUUGAUAUGAUUGAAAUACCUACAUAAAAGCAGCGUGGGGGAAGACGGAUUUUUGGCUCGUGUUCUGAGAGAGUAUAGUCCAUCUGUGUGGGGCGUGGUGUCAGGAGCCCGAGGCAGCUGCUCACAUCUCACCUACAGUUGGGAAGCAGAGAGACAAAUAUUCACUGUCAUCUCUUAGUCAGUCUGGGACCCCGGCUGAGGGAUAAUGUCACCCAUGUUUGCCAUGAGUGUUUCUUUCUUCCUCACUAAAUCUCUGCUAUCCUCAGAUGCAUCUAGAGAUUUGUCUCCUAAGUGACUCCAAAUCUAGCAGUCACAGUGAAGACUAACCUUCUCACUGUCCACUCUGCCUGGUCUUCGUCUCUUUCCCCUUGCUCUCCAUGAAGCAGCCCAGAGGCCACUGGGAUUGACAGGGGGGUGCAGGGAUGAGCCUCUCUCCACUUUCACCUUAGUUCAGUUUUAAUGUACUUAGUUUGAGACAGGGUCUCACUGUAUAUCCCUGGCUGGCACCCCGACUCCCACAAAUCGCUCUGCUCCCUGCGUACUAGGAUUAGAGGUGUUUGCCAUUGCUCCCAGCCAUCUCUACCAUUUUAGAACAGGCUGUGAAUUCUGCUGGUGAAUUCUGACCUGCUCCAGCAUCAGAGGAGUUGACCUGUAGCCUAGAAAGGACACUGUCUCCUUGGUUCCUGACCUAGUUUGGUUCUUGUUGCUAUGAUAAACACCAUGACCAAAAGCAACUCGGCGGAAGAAAGGGUUUAUUUGGUUUAUAGAUUAUAUAUUGUUCAUCCCCAAGAAAACUGAGGCAGGAAUUGAAGCAGAGACCAUAAAGGACGAUGCUUCCUGGCUUGUUUCCAGGCUCUGUUGACCUACCUUUCCUAAACCUCCCAGGGCUACCUGCCAGUAGUGCCAAGGUCUGGAGUGGGCUGGGCCCUCAUCCCAUCAACAAUUAAAUGUCCCACAGACACACUCACAGGGCAUCCUGAUGGAAUUCCUUAGCUGAGGUUCCCUCUUCCCAGGGCCUCAAGUUGACAACCAAGAGUAACCACAGCUGGGUCUGCAGAUGGCCCUUCUGUGUGUGCUACCGUGUGUACUCAUUUGAAUGGUCUUCCAGCAUCCAGAGGCAAGGACAAAAACCUGGUCACCUGGUCACCUGUCGUCCAUUGGUUCCAUCCCACCCAGUCCACCUGCUCCUGCCUUGGUACACUACCUGUUCAGGAGACUCUGUGUGUUGUGUGCAUGUAUGCAUGAGCACAUGCAUGUGGAACCUGCGGCACGUGGCUUCCCUUGCUGACCCUUUGUGUUGCAAGGUCUUUGUGGCAACAUGGACUAGUGUCUCCUCUGAGUAUGCAGGUCCACGGUAGGGAUACACACUUUGAUUUGUUUCCAUUUGUGUCAGGGGACAUUUGGGUUGUUUCCAAAUACAUUUUUAAACAGUUUGGAAGUUAGCUGUUAGCCUUCAAGCCCUGCUGGAAUUUCAAGUAUGUAACGAACUUUAUGGGGACCCAUGGGCCAGGCUGGCAGUUUUUCCAUAUUGAGUGGGAAACACAAGAAGUGUGUGUCAUGGUUGGUCCUUGUUUGUUUGUGGUCUUGGGGGUUGGAAUUGCACUUCGCCCAUGUAAGUCCCUCUGCACUUUGAAUUGUCCUGGGUCAUCAGAACCUGUCUGGUCUCUUGAGGUGAAUCACAGUAUGUCCGUGCUCUGCAAGAAUUCAGGCUUCAAUAUUGUUUCUCUGGUAGGUAAGUAUGGGAACGGCAAGCGUUGGCAGUCUGUGGCGCUGAACCUGGCUGGCUCACAAUGGAGCAGCAUGCUCUGACCGGUGCCUGGUGCUGCUUGUGCUUAGUGGCUCUCCCUUGCUAGCAUAGGAAGCUCAGCAGAAGUGAGCUGACCCUGUACUGUAUAGGACAGUCGUCCGUGACUGCUAUGCUGUCCUCAGGGCCUCUCCCUCUAGCUUUUUUCUGCAUGGGCCUGCUAGGUUUCCUGUUGUCUUUCUUCUCCUAGGAGAUAGAAGCUGCUGGGCAGACUGAGCCUUUCUCCUCCUUGCUGAGUUUGCCAUAGGCCCUUUCCAUGUCCUGAUUCAUAGUCAAGGGAGCCGUGUUGGAGAUUGGGUGUAGCUUUGACCAGCAUGUGAGGUCAGCAGCAGCUCUCACUGAAGCUUCAAAGGGAGAGGUGCUCAUUCAUGGUGAGUGGCUUUGGUAGCACCAGUGACAGCUAUAGACCUGCCCUGGAGAAAGCUGGGCCCAUGAGAUCUGUGCACCACUCUGUGAACAUAGCAUUGUGGUGAGCAUUCCUGUGCUUUUCUGCAGCCUCCUGUGGCCCCUCAACACACAAUCCUUUGACUUAGUCUUUGGCGAAUCCUCACCAGCUUCAGUUCUGUGCCUGGGUAAUCCCAUUCUUUUCCAUCUGGGUUCCCUCAUUUGCUGGCAAGUAUUUGUAAGUAUUAAGAACUAGUUACAAGUUGGGCAUGGUGGUAGCAGCCUUUACUUACAGUGGAAAGCAGGAGCUGUUGGAUUCCUCUGAGUUCCAGGCCAGUAUGAUCUACAUAGCAAGUUCUAGACCAGCCCUGGCUACAUAGUGAGACCCUGUCUCAAAACAAAAUGAACAAGAACUGUUUACAGAGGUAGUAGCACGGUGAUGCAUGUCUAGCAAUUCUGGAGACUGAGGCAGGAGAAUGGCUAUGAAGGGCAGCCUGAGCUGCAUGGUAGAUUCUGCCUGGAAUAGCAACAACAAAUAGACAAACAAAAGCCUUUCAAGCAACAUGUAUGCAGACAUAAAGCCCAAGAAGAAGGAAUUCUAGCCAGCCCCAGGGCAGCCAGCAUGUGUCUCCCUGCCUGCAGUGGUUGGACUGGGUGGUUCCCCACGUCAUAUAGUUUAUAAAUGUCUAUUUGCAUGCCAUCAGCUGUGCACUGGGGACUCCGGUGUCCCAUGUCCUUGAAAGUGUCCUUUCUCGGGUUUGUUUAAGUCAGUAUUUGCACACAUAAUAAGCUCUCAAGCCUCCAGCAUUGUUCUUAGGCACUGUGCCAAUGUCCUUUUAAGUUCUCCCCCUCCCCCAAUAUCUUUUUAAAAAUUGUGUGUGUGUGUGUGUGUGCGCGGGUGUGUCCCUGGAGGUCAGGAGAGGUAUCAGACCCCUGAAGCUGGGUCUGUAGGUGGGUAUGAGCCAUCUAUUGUAAGUGCUGGGAACUGAACUCAGGUCCUAGAAGUGAAGCAAAUGUUCUCAACUGCUGAGCCGUCUCUCCAGACACUGAUUUCAAGUUCUUAGAGAUCCCUCCCAACUGGGAGAAAGCUGCCCCAUGCAGAUGCUCCAUUGCCUACAAAUGUCCCAUUUCCCCAGUGUACCUUUACGCCAUCACAUUCCUCACUGUGCCUGCCUUCCUCAGGCCUCUGGGCAGUGGCCAGCCAAGUGACUCACUCGGCUUCAGUUCCCUCUGCCCAUCUAUACAGUUGGUGCUCUGCUCGCCUCCCUGAAGAUGGGGUCUUGUCCAGCAGGUUUCUUCCACAUGUCCCUAAGGGCCGUGGAAUGACCGCCCUAGUGCACCUCCCACUGUCCAAGGGAAGUCACCUGAAUUUGGAAGGAAUGUGCAGGCCUGUGUUACCCUCGAGCCCGAAGCUCCAACGUAGGAACAGCAUGGGUGCGCCGCUCAAGUGCAGAGUGAAGAGGCCAGGAAAUGGCUUGCCCGUGUGGCCAAGCAGAGCCAGGGGAGUGAAUGUGGAGGGAUGAAGCUGAAGAGCUCACAAGGCCCACCACGAGAUGAAGAACCACAGGCAACUCAUGACUGCCUCAUGUCAGUCAGUCUUCAGGGACAAGCUCUCACAGGGAAUCCAAACCCAGGCAGUCACCCCCAAACACUUGUUACAAGCAACAAUAAAUGGGCUUAGCAGGGUGGGGUGUGUGUGUGGUGGUAUGUGUAUGUGUGGGUGUGGUGGUUGUGUGUGUUGGGGGAGGGUUGGGGUAUGUGGGGGUGAGAAUUUUAGGAGUCGGGACACAGGAAUUGGAGUGGGAAGAGGGCGUGGUGGACAUGAUGUAAAUAUAGUACUCAUGUAUGAAGUUGUGAAGAUGUGUCUCUGCUAGAGCCUAUUGGGGAACGCCAUAAAGGUCCUUUAAAGGACAGCAGUCAGGGCCUGCUUCCUGCACAGCCCAGAAUUGAAACCACCUGCAUGGAGGACUGCUGUUCUUCAGUGUUCUGAGGAAUGGGGGAGCAGCUUUAAUUUAUUUUAAAUUGCAAGCCUGUCUGUCCUCAGGAAGGAAUCGAUUAAAGAGGCCAAACAGCCCUGUGGAUUGUAUCUGCUUGAUUUCAACAAUUUACUCCCUAAUUAAUUAUUCUGACUAGGAAAAAAAAUUGCCCUCUAUGGGAUGCCAGUAUUUAGAAGUGACAUUUCAAAUAGCUGGUGGGAAAAUUGAGGACAUUUUCUGUUUUCUGUCACUUGUUAAAUUUGCUUUUGAGAUGCUCCUCCGGGGGCUGUAUUAGGUCCAACCUAGGGACUUAAAGUGAAGUGUUCAUUCCACAGGACCCAUUGAGCUACGAUGGGUGGCGGUGGGGUGGCUGUAAGGGAAGCCUCACUCCCCUGGACAAAGCUGUGGCUACUGUGGUUUUUCAGUUCUUAUAUUUGGUGGGAGGAACAUUGAAUGUUGUCUGGAGGGAAUAUCAUGGAUAUGUGUCUCACUAUUCCAGGUGUGAAAGUCUCAACGUUACAGAUGUGCUCUGUCUUCUGAGUGUGAAGUGGUAUUUCUGUUUAUUGUAAUUUAAGACGAAUGUGAGGAUUUUCUUGCAAUUGAAAUGCUCCUGAAACAAGACACCGUACUUGUAAGCCGUCCACUGAAGGUCACAUGACAGCCACCCUAGCUCAUCUAGGAUAGUGAAUGGUCCUGCUUUGGCGUGUUAUGGGAGCUCUUUACCACAAGCAGAAGCAGGAGUAGCAUGUUCUCUAUGCAGUUUUAGCAUCAGUUUUCCUCUAGACAAGGACUCUCCUGUGUCUGUAGACAGGGUGGUCUCAGAGGGUCGCACAGGUCCACCAUAACACAGGAGUCUCCCUUCUGCUUUCUUUCAAUACUGGGGUUGAGCCCAGAGCCUUGUGCACGUUAAGCAAGCAUUCUACCGACUGAGUUACAUACUCAGCCUUGGCUGACUUCUCCUGCACAAAAGGUACUCAGGCUCAUCCUGUACUCCAUGCAGCUGCUCACAGAUUGAACUGCAGUGCCUUCAGCCUGGAGGGAAAGGGUUUGAGUGUCAUUCUGUGGCUCUCCACAGCUGGCAUUCUGCCCACCUUCUUCCUCACCACUAAGGGAACUUGAAUACAUUCAGCACAUUCUAGACUCUCUUUGGUAUUUUAAGUGUGGAAGGCAAAAGGGAAGAUCCAGUGGUGGUGCCUACGAUUUGUCGCCAUGACAGGCACAUGGUGAGUGGAACUGUUUGUCGUGGGGUCUUGGUAUCUCUGUGACACAGAUUCAGAGGCCUUGCCUGUUUGGAGAGGGGGCGGUGGGACUUGGAGCUAGCCAGUGUAGAUGUCACUCAGGCUUUGACUGGUCACUUUAGUGGGAACACAGAGUAGGCCACUGAGAGAUUCAAGUGACAUGGGCCUGGAGUGGUCAAAGUAUACGGAACAUUCGAAACCCUGUGGCUGAAGAAGAUCCCGUCCUGGCUAUAUUGGGGCAGAGCUGCCUGUUGAACACAGCCCUACAGAUUCUGGUUUUUGAGGAUGGUUGUAGGAGAAGAAGCUGAAGAACACAGGUAUCUGACUGCCAGCUAUGGCUGUAGUCUUAGGUAGGGUUUUAUUGCUAUAAAGAGACACCAUGACCAUGGCAACUCUUGUUAAGGAAGGAAAACUUUUAAUCACGGCUGGCUUACAGUUUCAGCAGUUCAGUUCAUUAUCAUCAUGGUGGGAAACAUGGCAGUGUGUGGGCAGAUUUGGUGCUGGAGGAACCAAGAGUUCUAUAUCUUGAUCUGAAGACUGGAUAUGUUUCCUACUAGGCCAAGCUUGAGCAUUCAGACAUUAAAGUCCCACCUCCACAGUGACACACUUCCUCUGACAAGGCCACACUGCCUCCAUUAAGGUCACACCUUCUCAUGCCUCUUCCUAUGCCAAGCAUAUUCAAUCCACCACAACUGUCUUGAGUGGGUAGGGGUUAAACUGAAGCUCUAACUUACUUACUGCAAGAGCACCUCUAUUCGCAUUAUGGGUUGGGAGGACACGAGUGGAUUAGGAGACAGAGAGGCAUGGACAGUUGAUGGGAUCUAAGCUUUUGUUCUGCAGUGGAUGUCUAGUGGCUGGCUUGAUGUUCUUUACAGAAAGCCCUGAAUGUGUAACCGUAGGCCUAGCAUUAUUUUCUCUUUGCUCUUGGACAGUAUUAUGCCCCUGGGGUCUGUGCCUUUCUUUCAAACUUUUGGGGUCUUGGCUGGUUUUGUUCCUUUGAAGAGACAGGUUUAUUGUACUUGUGUGCUGCUGAGAGUGACCUGCCAUAGACGGGGUGUUUCCAGCAUGAGCACUAGUCUGUAAGCAGAAGGCUGCUCCUUGAUCAUGUUGUAAAAUUAUAAAUAAUAAAACUUCCUUUUGCCCCAUUAGGUCCGGCUUCACAGCGCCCCAAGGUGUCUGGUAGAUAUCUUAAUUCUCAGUCAGCAAAGCGUCUCACCUGCUCUGCUCCAUCCUGUAUCACACUGCCGAAGGCCUCUCUCUGAGCCUGGCAACAAUCUCUCUACCCAUCCAGUUCCUAAGGCAGGCUGUCACCAUGCCAGAAAUAUACAUCUCAAUUCCGUGGUGGCUUAGUGUCUCUGGCCGCCACAUACUCUCUUAAAUUUAAUUUGCCACAAAAAAGAGCACACAGCACAAUAACCUCUGAUCUAAUUGAUAAGAUGUAAUUGCCCACCUAGACAUACAAAGCUCUGUACACAUCCAUCCCUUAAGAACAUUCAUAGCAACCUGUAAAGGUACAGAGUGGAAUCUUAACAUCCGCCUCCGUGUUUUCUCCACGGCUUCUUCUCCAGUCUCCUUCCGUUCCAGUCUCCUCCUCUUCCCUCAGACUUUUUUCCCCACCCAUCCUUCCUUCUUGUCCAAUGACAGGCACCGUUCUAUCUUGUACCAGCCUUCAGCUGAAUGACGUCAUCCUACAUGGUCAAGUAUCUACAGUUCCCCCAAAGAGCAGGCAGGAAGGUGCAGGUUGGGUGAGGGGUGACUGCGGGCUCUGCUGCCAUCCUGCAGUCAGAAGCAAAGUCGGAGGGAGGAAUGGGAGAAGAGGUCAGUAGGAGGACUUGCUGGGGGUGUGCCUAAAGGACACUGGUGUGCCCUGAGGUACCACAGGAAAUGGGAGAUCCGGCACAAGUGUGCUCAUCCCACCUCAGCCUCCUGAGUAGUCACAAGGAGUGUGCUUCCUCAGACCAGGCUGGCCUCGAACUCACAGGGAUCAGCUUGCCUCCAGCGUGCUGGGAUGAGAGGCCUGUGCCACCACAUUCUUGUUUCGUAAUGUUUCUCAAUUCAUCACACCCAUAAUGUGGUGGUAGCAAAAGACUAUCUCACGGAGCUAUCUUCCAUGUCCAGGAGACAAGUUCAGUGUACCCAGAGCACUGUGGUUAUUAGUGAAUUUGUCUUUAGGCAAUGGCUUUGUGGGCUUGUGGGACACUGUCGAGGUUGUCAAAAGAUGGUUCUCUCGGAGCAGGUUCUUACUAAGUCUGCCUACCUGCAUGACAUUAACAUGGGGGCCAUAGGCAGCAAGCUGUGGAACCAACCACCCUGCUUAGCUGGGCUCAGUGUCAUGGGAGGAGUGUAUGUCUCCAGGUUCAUAUCAGCAGGUUGAACACAGUAGAGGAAGCUGCACAGGAGAACCCAGGUUGUGGAUAUGGUGUGCAGAAAUUCUGGGUACCAGAGGGCUUUGAGGAGAGGUGACAGCUGCCUCAGUUACCCAUUGGAGGCUGCUUCCCAUGGUACAGGUGUUCCUAGGAAGUCAGCCUCGCAGAGCACAGAGGGCUUGCCAGGGGCACACUGGAACUCAUCAGCCCUGGGGUCCGGGCAGUUUAGUGUGGUCCAAGGCACGGUGGAAGCUAUGGAGACACCCACCACUGACUUAACCAAGGAAGUGGGGCUUAGUAUCUGGCCUGAAAGAGAAAAGGAGGGGCACCUGAGUUCAGUCUGGUGACAGCAGGCAUGAUGGACAACAAGCAGUUCAUUUUAGGGCCUGGCUUUUCUCUGCGGUUUGCUGGCAAAUUGGGGAAACUGCUCUGUGAGACUUGACUCUGGUGGGGCAAGUGGUGGAGGUUUGAGAUGACACUGUCAGUGUCUUACUUACUGCUAUGGGGGACAUGUGCCCCCUUCCUGCAGCUGGUCUCACCCCUCCCCCACCUCACCUUUCUAUGUUAGAUCAUGUAGCGUGAUGAGCUCUGAGGCACACAGGUGAUCAGAGGACAGCAUGAGCCUUGCAGCCUGGGCCCUGGCUGGCACUGCUGUCUGCCAAGAUGUCCCCGACAGAAGGGCCGUUUGCCAGUUCUCCUGGGUGGUAGGUAAUGCCUUGGCUUGAGAAAGGGCCUGUGUUGAGUAGGUUAGUAGAUGUUCAUAGGUUCUGCUACCUCAAUGGAAAAUAUGACAUUCGUUCUUUCCAAGACAGGCAGAGGGCCAAGGCUUGGUCUCAGACCUGUGUGGUAGAACUGAGACGUGAGGGGGGCACCCUGCUUUCUCUUCCUUCUGGACCUCCCACAUCUGCUCAGGUGCCCUGCCACAACUGCAGCUCCAGCUCACACCUGCCGGUUUCUGGGGUAGCAUUUUUCUCCCGAUUGUCUUUCUAUUAAAAUGCAUCUAGUCUCACAGAUCGUGAGGAGAACCAGACUUAAGCAGACUCCAGUGGAUGACUGGUCAUGGCCUGGUAGAGAUUCAAGUUUGAGGUCUCUGUGUGUCCUCAGCUCAGACUGGGAAGCAAGUGGUGAGGAAGCCCUGGUCCAACCUAUGCACACUGCUGUUGGACAGACACGUUCCCAAAAAGGAGUUCAAACAGUGGUGGCCAGGCCUGGUCCUGCCAUGUUGUUGGUUGUUAUUAAUGCUGAUAAUAUGUGCAGAUAGAGCACAAGCAAAGUUGAACCACACUACUCUCCUUAGUAGGUGAAGGCUGGCCCUCUCGUUAGCAGGAGGGGUGCAGCACAGAAAACAGGAUUGUACGGCUGCCGCCCUGUUGACCCUGCAGCUCACAGAGCCUGAGCAGCACCGGGCUGCCAGCAGUGUGGGCAGCCUCUUCCCUUGAGGUGUCUGGUGAGACGUGUGUCAAAUGGGGUGGCUCUGUCUCUUCCUCAGAGAGUGGUUAAGUACCAUGCAUGUGGAAAGUCCGGGGAGGAAUCUUCCUAGUAGUAGAUGGAGGAGCUCGGGUGGAAUGUGGACCCCUGGCCAGGGAGUCAGCCCUAGGCAGGGCUGUUAUUUCCACACAGUUGUAUUUUCAGUUGUGCAGGUCCACUGUGAACUCCCCUAGCCAUGGUGUGAGCCCAGAGUGGGGUUUUGGACCUGGCGGUAUUCCUGGCUUUGGGGUGGAAGAGCAGGACCCCUGGCUGGACAGGGUCCCAGGAGCUGGAAAGCACCAGGAUCUCCCCAGGACUGUAACUAUGAAGAACCUUCGUGUGUCCCACUCGGGAACGUGCAGUUUGAACCAGCCCACUAUGGACCUCGAGCUGGGAGUAUUCCUAGGUCUCUCUUUGUGAAAGGGAGCAGUGGCUGCUCACGAUUUCCUUUUUGUGAGCUUUGUCAUGGUUAGUUGAGAAUGAGUCUUGCUGGAUAGCCAAGAGUAACCUUGAUCUUCUUGCCUCCACUUCCCAGGUGCUGGGGUUACAGAAAUGUACCUCACACCCAGCAAGAGCUGCCCUUGCUAAUUACAGCUGUCAAGUUGAGUCCUUUUUUUUUUUUUUUUUAAUGUCAGCUGCCAAGGAUGAGGACCCUUCUUUGCAUAAAGGCAUUGUCUGCAGAUCUACUUUCUUUAUGACAGUCCUCAGAGGCUGUGGAAUAGUUCACACUUUGGUCUGUAGUCUGCUACUAGGAGUGGGUCUGCCAUUUGGCCCAGGAGCCCGGGCCCUUCUCAUGCCAGUAAGCACGUAGAGGUAUGAAGUGAAUUUGAGUAGGCGUAGACAUGCUGAAGCCUUGGAAAGUGUAAGCGCCCCUGCCUCACCUGAGAAGAGGCUGACUGUGCAGAAUCACAGUCCCUCCCGAAGGCUUGGGAUUCCCUGUAAAGACUGGCAGUGUUGGAUUAUAAAUCAGUAGUUUUACUGUUAUGGCCACUGACAUCAGCUACUUUUAUUUCCCUGUGCAUCCAACCAGUCCACAGUUGUGCAUAAAGAGACACAGGUCUCAUGAUCAGGCUGCUUACAGUCUAGUAAGAGGCAGACUCUGACCCUAGGAUCAUAAAGUGUGGUGACUCCGGACUUAAGGAAAGCUAGAGUGAGACAUUCUGCUCAGCUUCCUCAAGUUACCCCAAGGCUCACUGUGGGACAGUUUUAAGCAGGUGCUCAGUGGCUGGGCCACCUUGUGGCAGUUAUAUCAGGAAGAGUGACAGUGGUGCAGUUAUGGGUAGCUGGCCCCGAAGCCAACUUUCUUCAGCAGCUCCUCUUUGGUGUGGUAGUUUGAAUAGUGCAGAGGAAGAGUUGCUGGGCCUGUGUUUAACUUGUGAGGGGACGGCUCAGAAUUUACUAGGCAAAACUAUUUUUGAGAUGGGUUUGGGGGCCAUUUCUCAAAGAGGUUCAUGGUUGGAGUUUCAUACUGAAACACAAAAGCCAUUGAAAACCCACUGUAAACCAGCUGUUUCAGUUUGAGAUGAAAUGAGUGGCCGGACCUACGCAUGGGGUGUCACUGUCACAGCUGAUCCGGAGCUGCGUGUGCCCCUGCACUCACAUGGCACAUCCUAUCUCCUGCUGAAAUAAGGUCAACAUAUAUUUAGCUGAUUACUCAUUAAACCAAAAGGGCCACAUGAGCAAUUGUAGUACUGCACCGUCUGGGCCCCUCAGAGAAACCUCCCCUACCCAGCACCCUCACACCCCUCAGUGUCUGCUCCCCAAGGGCCUCACUUCCUGUCUCACCCAAACGAGUUAUGAUACAAUAGAAGAUUUCCCAGAGGGUUUUUUUUUUUUAAAUCAGGUGUGAUCAAAGCAAAAGACUCCUAGACAGCUAGUAACGUUCAAGGAUGGCAGGUUUCUAGAGAACGGUCUCUGUUUCCUUUCCUCUCAGGCAGAGGGAUAGCCUCAUUCCCCACUACACAGGAGAAAGGACCUCACUGAAGGGCCUUGUGAUAGGAACAAGAGAUUUAUCAGGACAUUAGGUGGUGGCCGGAAUUCCUGGUUGUAUGUCUCCAAGCCUGUGUACUCUGGAACAUUUAAAUUCUGUAGUGGCCCCAAACAGCUUCUGAGAUCAAACUAUCCCAUUCUAAGGCACACCAGUAACCACUCUGUGGUCAGUCUCCUAGGGUCAAGACUGUCACAGCCAGCAGUGCUAGGAUGGUCACCCUUUUUGCCGUAGCUUUCUCAGCUGCAUCUCAGCAGUGUUUGCUAAGUCUGGACCCGGAGCCAGGACCUGGAAGAGCAAAAGCUCCCUCCCUCCUUCCUGCUCCGGUUAUGUUAAACCCUCUCAUGUCCUUGCCUGCUUGCUCGGCUUACAGUCGAGUUUGCCAAGCCGUGGGAGUCAGAACUGGGAUGGGAGGUGUCUGACCACAAGCACGGUUCCAGUCCAAGCCGUACUUGGCCAGAUGCGAGGCAGACGUGAGCUUGAGUGUUCCUGUGUUGAAAGGCGCUCCUGAAGCAGGGCAGGCUUUGGGUUUGGAGUCCUCACUGGUUGGUGGUUACCCAAGUCUUCCCCGACAGUGGUUCUACACUAGUUCUGCUGACGGUGCAUGGUUCCUUCUCCAGCCAUGGAGCAGAUGGCCCUGGCUCCAUUCUUGGUACACACUCUAGGCAUCUCUUUCUUGGUCCAAAAAGACUGACUGUGUUUACCGUAGCUCUGUCAGUGUGGGUGGCAUGUGCACGACAGCCGGAUUGUCAACUAUGUACUGCAUCCUGAGUCUCCAGAACCUACUGUCAGUCUGUGCUCCUGCAAGCUGUCAGAUCUGUCCUGGGGCCUGUAAUGUCCAACUUGGGCCUGGACAACAGUCCUGCCUGACUGUCGCCUAGCCGAGAACCCAGGCAAGCCAGGCAAGCCACCCAACCCGAAAAAGUCUGUAGACACUUUCCUGUGUGUGAGCUUGACCGUGGCAGAGAGGCGCUGGUGUCCAUGCCUGGCGUGGCCCAGGGUGUGGCACGGUACUCAGCUUCCUGGCUGUGUGUCACAUUCUUUUCAUUCAUAAUUUCUGGCCAGUGUUCAGCGCAAGCACAGAGUUCUACAAGGCAGAGGAGCUGUGUGCCUUCAAAGGUACUUGCUUUGAAACCCAGCCCUGGAACGAACUGUGCAAUCACGCAGUGUUCCAUCUCCCUCCAUGGAUGCCUGGGGCUGGCUACGCUGGGUCCUGAAGGAAGAGCCCUGGGUUCCACUCCCCCUGGGGUUGCUUGGCUAGGUUGGAAUUUAGUAUGGCACAGAUGUCAUAUUCACAGCUGUCCACCUGCUUCAGCUUUCAGGAUGCUAGAAUACAGGCUGUAGCCAGCACAUCUGGCUUGUCAUUGCUUCUUAAGCCACUGUGUGUGGUGGGAAUUUUCAUAAGGAGUGUGUGUGCGCGUGUGUGUGCACGCGUGUGGACAGGUUAACACAAGAGGUUGUCAUCAGGUGUCUCGAUUUUUUUAAAGACAGUGUCUUUGAACCUGGCACACACCAAUUGGCUAGACUGGCAGACCAGCCCGAGGAAUCUGUUACUUUUGGCCCUCCAAGUGGCUUUUCUAAUAAGCCCUGGGGCUCUGAGCUCAGGUCCCCAUGCUGUCUUGGCAAGUGCUUUACUGGCAGCUACCCCCACGCCCACUCCCUCCUGUAAGUCACCCAGGAGUGAAGUCAUGCAACCUUUGUUCUGUUUAAAGGUCAUACAGCUCAUACUUAGAUGUCAUGGCAAGACUGCUUUCAGCAGGUGGGUGGUGACAGGAAGCAGCCUUCUGGGAAGGGUGGCAGCUGUCCUCUAUGCUUCCCUUUUCCCCCAACUCCCAUUGAACCCCUCAGAUCUGGGGUUCAGUAGCCCCUUAUGUCUCUGUGCAUGUAGACCUGAACCUGGCCGAUGAUUCAGCACACUGUGCAAGCAAGGGGUGGGAAUUUUCUCCUGGUUUCCCAGGUGACUUCCUGCUCCGCUCCGUGUGGUUUGUCACAUGACACCUGUGGUCUUCAGCUGGCACAGGUAUACAGUGGCAGCAAGAUGCAUGCUUGCUGCACAGUAGGCGCUUAAUGAAAGCCUGACCAUGGGGGUGGGGAUGCGGGAGUUGUGUUAGCUGAGCAGGUUGAAGGUUUGUUUUAAAAAGGUGUGUUGUUCAUGCCUGUGUGUCUUUGUGUGCCCUGGGAGAGCAGGUGCCCCUGAAGUUGGAAUUGCAGCCCUUGUGAGCUGCCCUGUAUGGGUGCUGGGAGCCAUCGCUCGAGCCCUUGAACAAUUGUUCGUUUUUGUUGUUUUAUUGUUUGGGGGUUUUGUUGUUGUUGUUGUUGUUUGUUUUCCUAGUUGACAGUGUCUCCCUAUGUAGGUAGCACAGGCUAGCCUCUUUAACUCAUGAUCCUCCUGUCUCAGUCUCCUGCAUUCCGGGAUUGUGAGUGCACACCCCCACUCCUAUGGUUAAUUCUAUAGAAAAUCUCUGGACAGUCAUAUCCAUCUGCUUUCACACUUCCCAGAGUGGUUUGUCUCCACAUGGGCCCAUACACUUGCAUACGAGAGCAUAUGGAAUGCCUAGUGUCGUGUCCCAGGGCCACAUGAUAGCUACAUGUGUGUGCAUGCCAGGAUGUCAUGUGGAGGUGCCACUGUCAGGCCUCCUCAGGACACCAGUCUCCUGAUUCAAACUUGAUGCCGCCCAUGCCAGCAGCCUGCAUGAUGAGCAGACGCAGGAGAGGCUGGUUGCCAUGGCAGUGGUAAAUGGUGAACUGACGCACAUUGUUGCAGCCAUGGAGAUAGCAGAGCCCCUAUCAUGUCUGCAGGGUGCUGGCCUGACUUCCCAGCUGCUCCUGCCUCAGGAGGGCAAGUGCCACCAUUUCUGAAUGGCCCCUAGAGAGAAACAGUUAACCUGCUCAUCCCCCAUAGUCAGUCUGAGGGCAGGUUUACUGUUUUCAGGAUCUGGGUACCAGCUUCUGCCUAGAGACCCAGGGAAGCUGGUUCUCACAUGUUCAGAUCACGAGUUCCUUUGUCAGCCUGGUGACGCUGGUGUGGGAAUUUUUUCUAGAAUAAUGAUUUUCAUGGCAGAAACAAAAUAUAUAGGCUGAUAGAUCAAAUGAGUCAUACUGAAUUAAAGCCAUCAAAAUACCAAAUCUAAUAUGUGAUACAAAAUAAAGGACUUCUUUAUCAUACAUAACCGCAGAGUCCUGAGGGCGAUGGGGAACACACUACAGUGCUAGCAAGGGUGGUGGCCACGGGCCAGCUGGGCCUCUUGCCACCUGAUACUGUGUCGAGGACAGGUACUGGGGCAGACAGGACUAAGCUUUCCCGGGAUGACUUGCGGUGCCAGGUUUUGAGUGUGGCAUUCAUUCAUCCUGAAGGAGAGAUGGUCAGAAUGCUGGGCUGGGAUAGACAGCUGGUCUAGCAUUAGAAGGCCCUGGGUUCAAACCCCACUCUAUAGAUGUGGUGAUGUAUACCUGUGAUCUUAGCACUGGUAAGCUAGAGGCAGGAAGAUCGGGAGUUCAAUGUCAGCCUUGUCUACAAAGCAAGUUUGAGGCUAACCUAGGUUACACGAGACCAUCUGGGAAGAAGGAAAGGGAGAAAGGAGAAGAGAAAGAAAGGAAAGAAAGUCUCAGAACUCAGUGUGGAGUUGCAGUGUGGGGAGGGAAUGCUGGAGUGAGGGUAGCUGGAGGGGGACCCGCAGAAUGCACGCAGCCUCUAGCUCCCAUUGGUUCCUUGUGUCCACGGCACACUGGUGCCAGAAGGUGUCAUCCAUACAGGGAUGGCCUAUGCUUGUCUCUUAAGCCAGACAGGCCAGGAAGACGAGCAGGUCAGCACUGAGGGAGGGUGCUGUUGGAGUUCCCACUGUGGGGCCUGGUUUCUGUCCCAGGAUGAAGGGAGAUAGAGGUGUGUUCUCUCAGGGGCAUCGGCCCAGACUCUGUGGUCCAGGGGGAGUUUGGAAAACACUAAGGUAGUUUGGAGGCUCUGGGCAUGGGUAUAAUGUGAAAGGAAGGAUGGGGGUUGGGGUGGAAAAACCCGGGCAGGUCUAGCUGGGGCAUGUGUACUUAGAAGGCUCAUUUUACAGGGAUUGUCUUGUGGUGACUUUCUCUGCGGUUUUAUUCUACUUUCCUCUGUCUUCUGUCAUUUUUUAUUAUCAAGGUUGAAGAGAAUAAGGUGUAUUACACAGUACUGGCGCUGCUUCAGUUCUACUGUGGGUAGAAGCCAGGCCCCUUCACUCACUGGUCCCUGGCUGGCUAAGAACAUUCCUGAGGGCCUGUGCAGGGGGUCAGGCCAGGUGAGGAGCAGGGCACAGGGCAGCCUGGACCCCUGUUCCCUAAGCCUGUAAGGAGAGGGAGUAUAGGUUUUUCCAGAAGGCACCAUGACCUUCCUUGGUAGUGGUUUGUGGCCAAGCAUUGGUCACCAUCCUGCAGCAGGGCUCCUGGGUAGGGGACAAUCUGUCUACCACCCACUUCCUGACUGCCCUAGGAGGAAUGGGCUGGGUGGGCCUUUUGUUGUUUGUUUGUUUGUUUGUCAGUCCUGGUGUGGGAGGCUGAGGUCAGAUCUGUGCCAGGGACCCAGAGUAUCCCAAGCCUACAGGUGUGUGGUAUGUUGCUUCCAGGACCUGCCCAUGACCUAGUACCCUGUUCCUGAUGGUUCCACUCCAUGUUCAUUGUCUGAAGCUGGUGUUUGUGCCUAAACUGAGCACACAGGCUUAGCAAAUGUUUCCAGAGUGCAGCACUGUCUCUUAGAGGGAGGCUGGGGCUAUGUGCCAGGUGUGAGAGUGGUCGGCCUAGGGCAAGGGUCUUAGCAUCCUCUCCCUGUGCAGAUCCCCCAUGUGCCUUGGGACUUUUGAGGCCAUCCUGUACUGCGGCAGGCUAGGCCUCUUUUGGCAUCUGUCACAAACAGCAGAUCUUUUGGUCUCCUGGACGCAGUUGCUCAUACAGGAAGUCGGUUACUCAUUCUCUGUGUUUCCCUUUCGCUGUUUGUGAUGGAGCUCUAAAAAUGGAGCUCUAAAACAAAUGUGCUAAGUGAUCAGCAAGUAGGCAAACACUGGGUGCCUGCGCUGUUGUUGGCGUCACGCUGGGACUGAGUCCUGGGAGUCUCCCUGCCAGGGAACCCUCUCCAGGGAGCGAGUGGAUCUGGGUGGAUGUAUCAUCCAGGGGUUGAGGGGUGGCACUGCCCCUCCCCCGGGCCUCCCGAGAAGGCAGCUGGAAACAUGCAGAACAAGGGUAGGAGACCAGGUGCCAAGCAGAGUGUCUGGGUGCUAUGGGGGGAGGGUUGGGGGAGAAAGGACAUUGGCUAUGCCUGGGGUAUAGAGAGGGUGGGGCCAGUCACCAGGGAGUCUUUGAUGCUUCCCCUCACUUAAAUCUCAAUAUCGUCAGUGUCAGACUAAAGGGCUGAAGGGGGUGUGCCGCCUUUCCUCUCUUCAAGCUUGGCACAUUACUGUGGGGUCCAGAGUCUCUACCUCACAAGCUUAGCUGUUUCGCUGAUCUCCUUUCUCUUAGGAGCUCUGUGCUCAUGGGGAGCCAGCUUCUCUCCAGGGCUUUGGGUCUCAACCUCCUGCUUGUUUGGCAGUGUGCACUUGGGGCUCCCCGGGAGUGAUAAAAAUAGGCCUCUGGUGUCUCAGAAGAGGGAUCACGGGAUCACAGUACUUAGGAAGAGGUCUAGGCCGGAGAACUUGUAUGAGCAAAAUAUGAUUUUCUGUUCUCCGUGGCUUUCUAUGAAGUGACUGCCUUGUCAUUCUUUGCAGAAGUAAUGGAAACAGUAUCUUGUGAAAUUAUGCUUCACGUUUCCUUGUUCCCUUUAUUAAUUCUCCUGCAGCCCCAGCCAGCUAGUGAUACUCUGCAGUUCCAGUAGCUGGCCAUCGGGGGUGGGCUUCCCAGUGACCUGAGAAGUGAAAGUCUGAAAAGAAACUGUGGCCAGGUCUAGGUGCUGAGGCCACAUCAACUGUGACAGGAGAGAGGGUCCUGGGCUGUGCUCCUUUGUCGCCUUUUUAAGCUGAUCAUUGGCUCUCACAGUGUCUGAGCUUCCUGACUCUGGUUUGACCGAUCCUGUUCUAAGCUUCCUUCCUCUACUUGGAGCAGUGGAGACCACCUAAGAGCAGGGUCCACAGUCUAUUGGCUGUUCUUUGCUAAGUCUUCUUUUGACCUGAAGGACAGGUUUGUUGAGCUUAUCUGGAUAGUCUGUGUCCCGAUCAAGGUCUGUGGAGGGAAGGGUAGUGGGUGUCCUGGUGAGCUAAUGAAAACUGACUUCCUCCUGCUGGGUGACGCUCAUCCAGAAAGGAGAAGCCCAUGCGAGGAGAACAGUUUUUCUCCUCCUUUUAAGGCUCCUUGACACGUCCGGGCCUUAAGGGGGCUGGUGGUUGAGUGCCUGCUUUCAAAUCUGUAACUAUGUUACCUCUGAAGUCAAGUGAGUGUAGACGAGAGGCUUCGUCACUUCUGCGCUGCUCAGCUAAGUGGUUCUUUAGCUUUCUUGGAGAAACAAAACAGAAAGUGAGCAAGCCUGGGACUCCCGAGACAGCUGGCAAGUACUGUUUUUGGUGGAGUGUUUAUUCCCAGUGAUUGUCAAUGGGCAUUGUGGCGUUUUAAAAAUGCAGGCGGCUGGGGCUGGAGAGGUGGCUCAGCGGUUAAGAGCACCCAACUGCUCUUCCAGAGGUCCUGAGUUCAAUUCCCAGCAACCACAUGGUGGCUCACAACCAUCUGUAAACAGAUCCGAUGCCCUCUUCUGGUGUGUCUGAAGACAACUACAGUGUACUUAUACAUAAUUAAUGAAUAAAUCUUUAAAAAAAAUGCAGGCGGCUUAUCUCUUGAAACAGGAUGUUUAAAUGAAAAUUACAAGUGGUCUGUUAUCAAACAAAUACGUAGUUGUGUUUU